rnacentral:rRNA from 1 species
GAUGAACGCUGGCGGCGUGCCUAAUACAUGCAAGUCGAGCGAACGGACGAGAAGCUUGCUUCUCUGAUGUUAGCGGCGGACGGGUGAGUAACACGUGGAUAACCUACCUAUAAGACUGGGAUAACUUCGGGAAACCGGAGCUAAUACCGGAUAAUAUUUUGAACCGCAUGGUUCAAAAGUGAAAGACGGUCUUGCUGUCACUUAUAGAUGGAUCCGCGCUGCAUUAGCUAGUUGGUAAGGUAACGGCUUACCAAGGCAACGAUGCAUAGCCGACCUGAGAGGGUGAUCGGCCACACUGGAACUGAGACACGGUCCAGACUCCUACGGGAGGCAGCAGUAGGGAAUCUUCCGCAAUGGGCGAAAGCCUGACGGAGCAACGCCGCGUGAGUGAUGAAGGUCUUCGGAUCGUAAAACUCUGUUAUUAGGGAAGAACAUAUGUGUAAGUAACUGUGCACAUCUUGACGGUACCUAAUCAGAAAGCCACGGCUAACUACGUGCCAGCAGCCGCGGUAAUACGUAGGUGGCAAGCGUUAUCCGGAAUUAUUGGGCGUAAAGCGCGCGUAGGCGGUUUUUUAAGUCUGAUGUGAAAGCCCACGGCUCAACCGUGGAGGGUCAUUGGAAACUGGAAAACUUGAGUGCAGAAGAGGAAAGUGGAAUUCCAUGUGUAGCGGUGAAAUGCGCAGAGAUAUGGAGGAACACCAGUGGCGAAGGCGACUUUCUGGUCUGUAACUGACGCUGAUGUGCGAAAGCGUGGGGAUCAAACAGGAUUAGAUACCCUGGUAGUCCACGCCGUAAACGAUGAGUGCUAAGUGUUAGGGGGUUUCCGCCCCUUAGUGCUGCAGCUAACGCAUUAAGCACUCCGCCUGGGGAGUACGACCGCAAGGUUGAAACUCAAAGGAAUUGACGGGGACCCGCACAAGCGGUGGAGCAUGUGGUUUAAUUCGAAGCAACGCGAAGAACCUUACCAAAUCUUGACAUCCUUUAACAACUCUAGAGAUAGAGCCUUCCCCUUCGGGGGACAAAGUGACAGGUGGUGCAUGGUUGUCGUCAGCUCGUGUCGUGAGAUGUUGGGUUAAGUCCCGCAGCGAGCGCAACCCUUAAGCUUAGUUGCCAUCAUUAAGUUGGGCACUCUAAGUUGACUGCCGGUGACAAACCGGAGGAAGGUGGGGAUGACGUCAAAUCAUCAUGCCCCUUAUGAUUUGGGCUACACACGUGCUACAAUGGACAAUACAAAGGGCAGCGAAACCGCGAGGUCAAGCAAAUCCCAUAAAGUUGUUCUCAGUUCGGAUUGUAGUCUGCAACUCGACUACAUGAAGCUGGAAUCGCUAGUAAUCGUAGAUCAGCAUGCUACGGUGAAUACGUUCCCGGGUCU